GGCCACUGUGGCAAGACGAAGGAGGGGUGGGCAGGAACCACGUGCUGGUAAGGAGACUGGUUUUGUUCUAGAUGUGACAGAGAAGCAGGGAAAUGACAUGAUCUCACGUAAGCUGGCCGCAUUCUGGAUCUUUUCCUUUUGCGACUCACCGUUUGCUCUGGCUUUAUAGCUACUGCAACAAAUAGGGAUUGCUUCAGGGAUGGACACAUAAUUCAUUCAGACUAAGGAGGCAUGGCAAGAAUCUGAGGCUUCUGAGAAAAAGAAGUGAACUUCUUCUCUUACGGGAUUAGUGACGUGAUGGUAGACGUGAAGUCUGGAGCUAUAACCGUCUUGGAACCAGAAGAGGCUAAAGCUCCCAGCAACUGGGAAGAAUGGAACCAACUAAGAAGAACCUAAGAGCAGAGAGACGGGUCCCGGUGAUAUGGUUAUUCCCUUGAUUCAGCUAUGCGUGAAGCCAGUUACCACGUAGUUUUCUUUCUUUUUUUUUUUUUUAAAUUAAAGAAAAAUUUUUUCUUAGAGAGAGAGAGAGCAGGGGAGAAGAACAGAGAGAGGGAGAGAGACAGAAUCUUAAGCAGGCUCCACACUCAGCACAGAGCCCAACGAGGGGCUCGAUCCACGACCCUGGGAUCAUGACCUGAGCCGAAAUCAAGAGUUUGGACGCUCAACUGACUGAACCACCCAGGUGCCCACCAUGUACUUUUCAAUUACAUGAACCAAUACAUUCUUUUUACUUAAGUCUAUGUGGGUUGGGUUUCUUGUCUCUUGCAACUAGAAAAAUAGUAAUUGAUACCCAAAUUCAGUUAAGUAGCCUCCAGUGUAUUUAUCAAGUCUCCGACCUGGAGUCCUACCUUCUCUCAUAGAACACGGAAACACAGUAUUAUAACAAUCUUGACAUCUUCAACAGCGAUGCUGGCAGAGGUCCGUUAACGUGCCUCCUUCUUGUAACCUGAAGCACCGCCCUUGCCCUACCAAUCAGGCACCCUGCUCCUGUGUCUUUAACUUCCCUCACCACUGCUUUCUGCCUUUGGCAUACACACAUGCUCUUGACAUUCCCGUCUUAUGAAAUGUCCUCCUUCACUCAUCCGCCAUUUUAGCUGUCACCCUAUAACUCUAUCUUCUUUCUCAGUCAAGCUCUCAGAAGUAGUCUAUACCAACCCUUUCCAAUGCCACGGUUCUGCAGAUAGUUACAUAAAAAAGAGUAUACAAUCAAAUAUAUUGUGGGACAUGCUCUAGGUGGUAGCUUCCUUUUGGACAGUAACAAUUAAUGUGAGAGUAUUAGAGGCUCUAGGAGUUCUUACGGAGAUGAAGACUAUUCAAUUUUAUUUAAGCCAAUGUUUCCCAAACUUAUUUGACCAUGGAAACCACCCCCUUUUUAAUUCUGCUUAAAAUGAUUUAACAUUCCAAGGAUCUAGAGUUCUGAGGAUCUGCUUAGAAUUAUUUAAUAUCCCGAAGAUCUAGAGUUCUGAAAGGAUAGUUAUAUGCAAUGCCUUCGUCUCUCAUUGAUCCGCUUGAAGUUAUUAUUAAUUGUUACGAAACUUUUUAAAUACCAAAAGUAUACAGCAUAAUACAACACACUUGCAGCUAUCACCAACUUUGCCAAAUCUUAAUGAAAAAGAUCUAAACCGAACAUGGCAACAAGUUUACAGUUUCCAACUGUUCUGUUUCUCUUGUGCCUUUUUAUCUUAACACACAUUCCCUUUGUUUUGAAUACCCCAUCUCUCCUACCCCCACUGUUCUUUGCCUGGAGAAAUCCUACUCCCAGUCAAGACUCAGCUCAACUCUCACCUCCUUCAGGAAACCUUUCCUGUACAGAGCCCGACGCGGGGCUCGAACUCAUGAACCACGAGAUCAUGACCUGAGCCGAAAUCAAGAGCAGGAUGCUUAACCCAACUGAGCUACCCAGACGUGCCAAUAACUUACUGUUUCUCGAAUGAUGAAUGUUUGGGGGGCUUCGUGGUGGGUCUUCCCUGGGCUUAACAGAAAUGUACAAGUCAGUCACCACAUUUCUUGACUACUACGUUGCCCGGACUUCUAUACAUUUUACCCAGUCACUAUCUUUCCUCUUAGGAUGCUGUCUCCAUUCUCAUUUUUCCCUUUCAAAGCAAGCGAGUCAGCUAGGAUGCACUCUGCUUUGAGUAGCAGAAAACUAACUCUCAAAAGGGUAAGCCAUCUAAGAGGUCUGGAAGUGAAAGGCUUUGAGGCUGGCCAUCAUGGAUCCAGGCUUUCUUUCCAUUUGUUCUACCAGCAUCAGUGCACUAGCUUUUGCCCUCAUACGUGUCAUGUCAUGGUUGAAAGCUGCCUGCACAGCUCCAGAAUCCUGCCCCCAACCCCCACCCCCACCCCGACUGUGAGCCACAGUAGGAUGCCUUCGUGAGGCUGGUCUUUUUAUCAGGAAGAAAAUCCCUUCUAGAAGCUCCUAGCCCACAUGGCCUUAUGUCUCACAGAUGUCAGAACUUGUGUCACGCACCCCCUUCUUCCCCGCCCACAUCCGAGCUUGCCAGGGAGGCUGAGAAAAGUGAGUAUCUAGCCCAGAGGAACAGAAACACCUUGGCUGGCUUAACCCAACUGUGAUUCACCACGUGUGUCUGCAAGAGGGGCCAACCUCCCUGAAAUCAAGGGGCUGAGCCCAGUUGGGAUUCUCUUAGCGGGGAUGAAGAAGGCAGGGUAGAGAUAAGAUUGGCUGUUGGGUGGGCAACACCGUGUGCCUGCCAGGAUAGCAUCGGUAUGGUGGUCAGGGCUGUGGAACCAAAAGAUUCGAGUUUCUAGAAUGAGGCGUCUCGCUAGCCAACCACAGGCCCUUGGCCGGCUCCUGGUGAUCUCUGAGUUCAGUGUUCCUUGGUCCAACAGGAGGAGGAUUCCUCAGUGUAUCGUGUGAGCUGAUUAAUGACUUUUAAAAUAGAAAAAAAAAAAAAAAAAGCUUCUCUUCAUCCAACUUCUUAAGUCAGGUAUCUCUUGACAUUUCUUAAUGCAGGAAAACAGUGGUCCAUGCAUUCGUCUGACGGUCACUGUGCCUCUCCCUUGGGGCACCUUGGGGCACAGAGAUAGUUAAGACAACCUCUUCCCUCAAAAGGCUCACUGUCUGGUGAACAAGACAGACAUUUACACAAACAGCUACGCUGGACGUGACAAGUGCAAUAGUUAAGAUCUGUACAAAGUGCCAGGGACCAGGGAAGGAGGUCAAUUUGCUGGGCGGGGGGAAGGAUGCCAAGGGGGCCGCCACACACGGCCGUGCAGGCGGGUCCUGCACAUCUUGCAUUUGUGGACGCCCUGGCUACUGAGUCCAGAAGCCCUCUGAAGGGAGGAAACAUUGGCAGAGGAAGCAGAGGAAGGCUACAGGUAGGACAAGGUGAAGAAGAGUCCCCGGAGAGAGAAGGGGGGAAAAAAAGUACAAUCGAUGGAAAAUUCAGGAUGUAGUCGACGCUGUGGAGCAGACCUACUAUUGAGGGAAAGGGGUGGCGGAGGGGGGCACGUAACGGAAAGGAGGCUGAAAGUCAGGUAAGGCUUUUAAAAACCUGAGCCUUAUCCUUUAGCUGGCAAUGGAGAGUCAAUGAAAAUUUAAAAACAUUAACAGUAACUCAUUCCUUCAAAGGUUAGAGAGGCCAAUCCCAUUUGCAAAUUAAGUAACUCCUAAAUUGCAGGAGUCCUAAAUUACUACCAACUCUUACUUAAUAAACAAAGAAGGUAUUAUAAUGUUCGGGAAACAACUGUCAACUGCGCUUCUGAGUUUUUAAGAAAGUUACGAGGAAAUGAAUACCUGUAUUUUGUCCUUCCAUAAAACUGAACAGGUUAGGGAUAUAUCCCAUAAAUCCUACAAUUAUUUCAAGCACAAGGCGUAGCUUUACUGCAUUAUCGCUUUUAAAUAACACAUCACCAGAUUCUGGUUCCCAAAACCACUUUGGGGAAAAAUGCUUUCCUAAGUGACAUCACCCCACUUUCCAUAUAAAAUGAAAAAAAAUAAAGACUCAUAUUCAGAAGUGGCAGGCUACAAAAGGAGGUUUGGUGUACCUUAACAGCCUACUAUAGAACCCCCUACUGCCCUGAGAGAAACAAAGAAAUAAAUUAAAAAUAUAAAAAAAAA